CAAGGAGGAACAAUUCAGGACAGUAUGUAUAUACAGCCCGUGGGAGGCGCAGACUAUUCAGUUAUGCUAUGAACAACGAGAUUAGCGAUGAUUAACGAAGCACCUGACUAACAAAAGAUUUACUUCUUUGUAAGAAGCUCUUCGAUGAGAAACUUCUCAUUUGCUGAAAGGCUUUUAUAGAAGAUGUCUUUGGCUUUCUCAGCAUUCAUGGAACACCUGUAGAUCUCCCUCAUCUUGUCCUGAAAGGUCGGCAGAGCUCUGAUCCGGUCGUAAACUUCUUGGUCGACCACUCCAUUGUCAUAGAGCUCAUCCAGAAUGGGGGAGAUGUUGCUCACUCUCCGGAUCAGGUCGAGUCUGUGUUUGUCCACAAAAUGCUUUCCUGAAGAGAAAGGACAGAAACGACAAAGACAGAUCAGGACAGGUUCAUGACCUUAGUUAUUAUUUCCUGUCACUGCACGCCUUCAAACAUCGAACCAACGGUAACACACAGAAGACAAUCCUGUUGGUGCAUCCAUCACCGGUGCUCAGCGCACACACGAAGAGAUGCUUCAGUUAUCGUACUGUUCUCAAGGGGGUUUUGGCGCCCACAAGUUGUGGUAGGUGGUACUUCAGCAUCCAGCUAGUGCUGCAGCAGAGGAGCGAGCACAAAGGGAGUAAUGGGUUUAAAGUGCGAGGCAGUUUCAAAUGCAACAUUUCUAUCAGCAAACACACAAACCGUUUGUGUGCAGUUUGUCACACAGUGUGUCUGCGAGUUGCUUCAUUUCCCAGAAAGACAAAAAUUCCCUCAGAGAUGGAGAAAGACAUCUCAGGAGAGACGAAGGUGUUUAAAGCUGAGGACUGCUGAGUAAUGUUUAAAAGCUUACUUGUCCUCGUCCAUUUUGGAUCUAUAUACGAUAUGUUGCUGAAAGUUUUUCAUGUUGAAAUGUUCAGCACAACAAACUGAAGUUUAAUGAACUUGAAUGAAACUUUGAGCUGUUCAGAGUCUGCAUGAACAUGCUCGGCAAUUUCAUGCAGGCUGCAUCGGUAGUUUGCAGCACUGUGGUGAAGUUCACAGUGAUACACGAUUUUAGAACAGACUGCUGCUCGUGGUCAGUGUCAGCUUAGAUCCAGUUAAAUUUGAGGUGAUGAUGCUGAUUACAUUCACUCACUGAAUUCUACUCUGGGGUUGGAAA